AAAUCAUAAGUGGCAAAAGGAUUUCCUCUUCAUAUGGUCCAAAUGAAAGUUUAAGCCUUAUUGACUAUGCAUAUGAAUUGUGGAAUCAUGGUAAAACCACUGAAUUGAUGGAUGAAACGCUAGACGAUACAUCUUCAUCAUGUAAAUUAACAAGAUGCUCACAUAUAGCUUUGUUAUGUGUCCAAGAAAAUCCAAUGGAUAGGCCAUCCAUGCUGGAUGUUUUUUCUAUGCUCAAAACUGAAACUCUAGAUAUGAUGAUACCACAAAAGCCUACUUUCUUGAAACAAAAUAAAUCUGCAGGAAUAAACUUGGAAGGUCAUUCAGUGAGUACAUCAUCAAUUAAUGAUAUAACAGUUUUGGAUAUUUCAGCUAAUUGAAUUAUAAAUAUUAGUCUGCUAUUCUCUCAAGUUGGACAUGAUCAAUUCCUUCUCGUUGUAGUUUCUUUACUAUUAGAAAUCAUAAUUUUGUAUAUUAUAGUUGACUAGUGAAAUAAUUACUUGUU